UGUAGUGUAGCUCAGUGGUAGAGUGCUUACCUAGCACGUGUGAGGCCCUGGGUUCCAUCCCUAGCACCACAU
rnacentral:tRNA from 1 species